rnacentral:rRNA from 1 species
UACGAAGGGGGCUAGCGUUGUUCGGAUUUACUGGGCGUAAAGCGCACGUAGGCGGAUCGUUAAGUCAGGGGUGAAAUCCUGGAGCUCAACUCCAGAACUGCCUUUGAUACUGGCGAUCUUGAGUCCGGAAGAGGUGAGUGGAACUCCUAGUGUAGAGGUGGAAUUCGUAGAUAUUCGCAAGAACACCAGUGGCGAAGGCGACUCGCUGGACAGGUAUUGACGCUGAGGUGCGAAAGCGUGGGGAGCAAACAGG